GGGCCGGUAGCUCAGCGGUUAGAGCAGGGGACUUUUAAUCCUCGUGUCCUGGGUUCGAAUCCCAGCCGGCUCACCA
rnacentral:tRNA from 2 species